rnacentral:rRNA from 1 species
AUGACGGCGACGCCCUGGGUGGUCGUCGGAAGAACUCCAGCGAGGCUUGCUGGAGUCGAGGAAGAACCGAAGAAGGAAUCCAGCGGCGGCUCCUCCAUAAUUGGGCGGCGCGAGAAGCAGGGCGACGAAGGCUUGGGACAGAGGACCCGGUGGAGGAACGACGCUGCGGGAUUCGACGGCCAUGGGCUCCUGCUAAGUGAUGCAGCGAGAACAGAGAACGGUGAAGAAAGGGACAUGACACGAAGAGGGAAAGAGGGCGACACAGGACCUCCAGGCGGCGGUGGCAUGCUUGCUCCGGCGAGGCUCGAGCAGGAGGCGUGCUCGAGGCCGAGAAGGCGCUCGGGAUUGCGGCGCUGCGCGGGGCUGCUGGAUCCAGAGCCCCUGCGGGAUGAACUGGGGCGACGAGGGCCGUUCGAUCUGGAUCUGAUGUUCCAGAUCGACAGUGGGGAGCUGCACUGGUUAGUUGGUUGUAGUGUGGUGGAUCUGGUGGUGCGAGGUGGUGGCUACGUGUGGAUAGGCUCGGGUGGGAUCCCGAGGAAGAUGCCGCUGGCGGCGACGCAAGGGACAAGCUUCCUAGAAUUUAGUGUUUGA